GAUGAACGCUAGCGGCAGGCCUAACACAUGCAAGUCGAGGGAGAAGCCCUUUCGGGGGCAGAAACCGGCGCACGGGUGCGUAACGCGUAUGCAACCUACCUUUCACAGGGGGAUAGCCCGAAGAAAUUUGGAUUAAUACCCCAUAAUAUUAUUGGAUGGCAUCAUUUGAUAAUUAAAACUGCGGUGGUGAAAGAUGGGCAUGCGUCCUAUUAGCUAGUUGGAGUGGUAACGGCACCCCAAGGCUACGAUAGGUAGGGGUCCUGAGAGGGAGAUCCCCCACACUGGUACUGAGACAGGGACCAGACUCCUACGGGAGGCAGCGGUGGGGAAUAUUGGUCAAUGGUCGGAAGACUGAACCAGCCAUGCCGCGUGCAGGAAGAAUGCCUUAUGGGUUGUAAACUGCUUUUAUAUGGGAAGAAUAAGGUGUACGUGUACAUUGAUGACGGUACCAUAUGAAUAAGCAUCGGCUAACUCCGUG
rnacentral:rRNA from 1 species